rnacentral:rRNA from 1 species
ACGCUCGACACCUACAGGAGGCAGCAGUGGGGGAUAUUGCACAAUGGGGGAAACCCUGAUGCAGCAACGCCGCGUGAACGAAGAAGGCCUUCGGGCUGUAAGUUCUGUUCUUAGUGAAGAAGCAUGACGGUAGCUAAGGAGAAAGCUCCGGCUAACUACGUGCUAGCAGCCGCGGUAAUCUGAGCGGGCUGGCAAGGC